GCUGCAGUGACGGAGAGGUCUAACGUGAUCGGCUUGAAACCGAUUUCCUUCGGGAGCGCACGUUCGAAUCGUGCCUGCAGCG